AUCGCCUUGGCACUUGGUAGCCUCCUCACCACCAUGCUCCAACAGAGUGCAGUGUGCAUAAAUCCAGAGAGGUGCCAAUUUCACCCUGCAGCCCAGCAUGCCCCAGGGUAUGCUCUUACCAGCUCUCUGUUCAACAAGAGUGAGAUGAAAUUUCAGCUCCAAAUCAUCUGUUUUAUAAAAGUACCUUCUACAUUUACGUUGGGAGGCAAGGAAGCUUUCUGUCAGGGUCUAAUUUAGUAAUAUAAAGAUAUCCUUUUUUUUUUUUUAAAGAUUUUAUUUUUAAGUAAUCUCCACACCCAAUGUGGGCUCAAACUCACAACCCUGAGAUCAAGAGUUGCACGCUCCACUAUCUGAGACCGCGAGGCGCCCUGCAUAACACAAAGAUACUUUUAUUACUUCCUGGAAGUGUGUCAUGCUCUCCGAAUUGACUUCCCCCUGAAAAACUGCACAAGGUAUCUAGUUUCCUAUGAUAGUAACACUGAAAAAAAAAAUGAUGAAAAAUAAUCAACAGAUGCCUCAUCAUAAAAAGCUGCAACACACUAAAAAUUUUUUUCCCAACUGAUUUUAAUAAUAGGUUACUAAAAUUGCAAAUGCAGCAAUGUAAAGUUUUGCACUAAACCUCCUAAUAAGCAAGCUGUUACACUCAGACCUAAUGCCCAAGAUGAAAAUACAGGUCAGAUUAAUUAUCCUGGGAUUCAGGAAUCAAUUCCUUCCAUUUUCCCUACAGCUUUCUAGAACUAAACUGAAAAUCAGUUUUAUCUCCUUUUAUUUCCCUUCUGGCCACUAGUGUAAGAGGUGCUAAUGAGCAGUGAGGUGAUAUAAAUAUACUGUGUUAUGAAUGACAAGUCUGAAGCAUUAAGUGUAAAACUAGAGAAUGAACAAAUUAGAUAAUCUGCCUUUAUUAAGUAUGUGUGCGUGUGUGUGUGUGUGUGGUGGAAAUGUGUACCAUCUGUACAAGUGAUAGGAAAAUCAACAACAAACAAAUUUACUAGGCCUAGUAUAUAGCUCUUUAUUUUUCUUUACUGUAUAAUCAUGUAGAUUGUAGUGUAGUUCAAUCAAGAAAAGGUAUUCCAUUAUAUACAUGUGAAUUUAUCUGACUGAAAUAUGAAAAAAAAAUUAACGACUAAUCAAUACAUGAUCUAUAUAUACUGAAGAGACUCAAAAUCAAUGUGAACGAGGCACACAUGGUUUUUUAGGACCACUGUUCUAAAUAUUUUCAUUAUGGUGAGAACCAAGAAGAGUUAGCAGAACCUGUUUAAUUUCUGGCAAAAGAUCCAGAAAAAAGAGGUUAAAGUUUUCUAUUGUAUUAUCAGUUCCAAGUUAUAAUAGUAACUCCAACUGAGGCUUUAGAAACACUGAAAUUACUCAGUAUUUUUACCAUUCGGUCUAUAUGUUUGAUGUAGUUAUCAAUGAUAGGGUCCAAGAGUAAUUUUUAUAAGCACAAAACUUACUCAAAACUCAAAUUCUAAAUAAAAAUGUUAUAGUACUAGAGCUCA
rnacentral:lncRNA from 1 species